CACUAACCCCAGGCCGAGAACAGGCUGAAUGGCUGCUGCUCUCUUGGAGAGCCGAGAGGAGCGAGGAGCCGGUCUCCACCUCCUUGGGGAGGGUGCCUCAGGCCCCCACCCAGGAUAGGGCCCAGGGCACAGUGCCAUCUCCUCCCACAAAGGCUCUAGGAAGAGGACAGACACAAGGGCCAACGUUCCACACAGCUCAGAUGAGAAACAGACUCCCAGAGGUAAAGUGGCACCUCCAAAGCUGGAAAGCUGGUGAGACCCAGGGGUUUUACUCGGAUCUCAUGAUGGUCCCCACCGCACUGCCCCAGGAUAGAUGGAAGCAAACAUUUCAUUCCAGGCUCAGGAAACAGAACAAAGCGCGAGCGGGAAUAAUCGAGUUCUACAAUACGGG
rnacentral:lncRNA from 1 species